UACGUAGGGUACAAGCGUUGUCCGGAAUUAUUGGGCGUAAAGAGCUCGUAGGUGGUCUGUCACGUCUGCUGUGGAAACGCAAGGCUCAACCUUGCGCGUGCAGUGGGUACGGGCGGACUAGAGUGCAGUAGGGGAGUCUGGAAUUCCUGGUGUAGCGGUGAAAUGCGCAGAUAUCAGGAGGAACACCGGUGGCGAAGGCGGGACUCUGGGCUGUGAACUGACGCUGAGGAGCGAAAGCAUGGGGAGCGAACAGGA
rnacentral:rRNA from 1 species